AUGCAAUGUAACAAGAUUGUAACUGAAAAUAGAACUUCAUCUUCAAUAUUCUUGAAAAGAAAAUGCAGAGCAUUUCAUACUUUAUUAUGCAUCAACAAUGUUGUGGAUGAGAGCUAUAAGCAUGUCAUGUAUGGAAGAAUGGUCAAAUUUCAAAAGGUAUUAAUAUGUGGUGAUUUUUGCUUUUAUAGAUAUAAAUAUGUCAUGGAUGGAGGAAUCAUACUAUUUAGAGGUCAAUGA